GCGGCGCGCUUAAUGCAUGCAAGUCGAGCGAUGAGGCUCCUUCGGGGGUACAUCAGCGGCAGACGGGUGAGUAACACGUAGGUGACCUACCCUCGAGACGGGGAUAACGGCUGGAAACAGUCGCUAAUACCCGAUAGACUUACCAGGUCAAAGCGGUAAGAAAAGCUACGGUGCUUGGGGAGGGGCCUGCGGCCCAUCAGCUAGUUGGUAGGGUAACGGCCUACCAAGGCGAAGACGGGUAGGGGGUGUGAGAGCACGAGCCCCCACAAUGGGACUGCGACACGGCCCAUACUCCUACGGGAGGCAGCAGCAGGGAAUAUUGCACAAUGGACGGAAGUCUGAUGCAGCGACGCCGCGUGAGUGAAGACGGCCUUCGGGUUGUAAAGCUCUUUUACGGGGGACGAGGAAGGACGGUACCCUGGGAAGAAGUGUCGGCUAACUACGUGCCAGCAGCCGCGGUAAGACGUAGGACACAAGCGUUAUCCGGAGUUACUGGGCGUAAAGCGCCUGCAGGCGGCCUGGUAAGUUGGACGUGAAAGCCCCGUGCUUAACGCGGGGAGGUCGGACAAUACUGCCAAGCUAGAGUGCGUCAGAGGGGAGUGGAAUUUCCGGAGUAGCGGUAAAAUGCGCAGAUAUCGGAAGGAACACCAGUGGCGAAAGCGACUCCCUGGGGCGCGACUGACGCUAAGAGGCGAAAGCUAGGGGAGCGAACAGGAUUAGAGACCCUGGUAGUCCUAGCCCUAAACGAUGGAUGCUAGGUGUGGGACGUAAAGUUCCGUGCCGGAGCCAACGCGAUAAG
rnacentral:rRNA from 1 species